UAAAUAAAUGAAAAAUGAUAAAAGUUAUCGUAAUUCAAAGAAAAUGUAUGCUGACACUGUAAUUUUGACAUUCUUUGUAGUGGUAAAUUAAUUGCAGGAACUGAUAAUUAUGAAAUCUGUGCAACAUGAGCAAGUUCCAUUACAAGUAUUCAUGACUAAUUAAAUUAUUUAGUACAUUUGUAUUUUUGAAAUUACUUUUAUCCACAAUUAGACUUCUUUUGUAAAGAUUCAUGAAUGAAAGGUCAUGCAAUUAUCGAAGAUGAUAAUUGUAUAUAAAUAAUUGAAGGUAUGACAAUAGAAGAAUGAUAUACAGGCAAACCGUUCUGCGAACUUUUCUAUUGUUUCAUUGAAGAAACUAUUUCUGGGAUUUCAAAACGUAACGUUGUUCACCGAUUGCCUCAAACUUUAGGGUAAUUCCAAUAUAUAUGAAUCGAAUCUGAUAUUUCCAUUCGAAGAGAAUUGAUGAUGCAAAAGAAAAUUACCGGUAUCGCAACAUUUUCUUUUUUCUUCUUUUUUACUGUAAAUUCUAUUUUAGAUCGAAGGUCCAACCGUAACAAUGCGUUCCGACGAAACAAAGUUUUUCCUUGCAGAAAAACGUGACAGAUACAAUGAAGCCGGAUGUUAACUCCCAUAGAAUAGAAUCAAAUGCAGUUGAUAAUUGUAAAUGACUUUUUUUAUUCUGUCCGAUACGAUUUGUAACGUGAUUCAAACGAUAUUAUUUUCUGGCUUGAUUACGCUAACAAUAAGUAUGAAUUCACAUGAAUUCCAUUUGCAGCAAAUAUGCACUAGUAUGAUUGGUAGUGAUGUAAGAAAGAACGGAAAUAAAAUGCAAGAUAGCAAGCAGACAUGUAGAAAAGAUCUUGGAUUCAUAAAGAAGGCAUCUGAGUUUAUCCUUAAUGAUCCCACGCGACUACCGACCGAAUUAUGUAACGUAUAUGUAUAACUGAUAAAUAGUAAUUAAUAUUAUCAUGAUAAAAGAAUUUUUAUUUAAAAAAA